rnacentral:rRNA from 1 species
UUCCGGUUGAUCCCGCCGGACCUGACUGCUAUCGGAUUGAUACUAAGCCAUGCGAGUCUUUGCAGUAAUGCAAGGCAUACGGCUCAGUAACACGUAGUCAACCUACCCUAUGGACGAGAAUAAUCUCGGGAAACUGAGCAUAAUUCUUGAUAGAUCAUAAUGCCUGGAAUGGUUUAUGGUUAAAAUGAUUCGUCGCCAUAGGAUGGGACUGCGGCCUAUCAGCUUGUUGGUGAGGUAAUGGCCCACCAAGGCGAUUACAGGUACGGGCUCUGAGAGGAGAAGCCCGGAGAUGGGUACUGAGACACGGACCCAGGCCCUAUGGGGCGCAGCAGGCGAGAAAACUUUGCAAUGUGCGAAAGCACGACAAGGUUAAUCCGAGUGAUUUCUGCUAAAGAAAUCUUUUGCCAGUCGUAAAACCGCUGGUGAAUAAGGGGUGGGCAAGUUCUGGUGUCAGCCGCCGCGGUAAAACCAGCACCUCAAGUGGUCAGGAUGAUUAUUGGGCCUAAAGCAUCCGUAGCCUGCUUUGUAAGUUUUCGGUUAAAUCCAUGUGCUCAACGCAUGGGCUGCCGAAAAUACUGCAUAGCUAGGGAGUGGGAGAGGUAGACGGUACUCAGUAGGUAGGGGUAAAAUCCUUUGAUCUAUUGAUGACCACCUGUGGCGAAGGCGGUCUACCAGAACACGUUCGACGGUGAGGGAUGAAAGCUGGGGGAGCAAACCGGAUUAGAUACCCGGGUAGUCCCAGCUGUAAACGAUGCAGACUAGAUGAUGCAUUGGCAUAAUAGCCAUUGCAGUGUCUCAGGGAAGCCGUUAAGUCUGCCGCCUGGGAAGUACGUACGCAAGUAUGAAACUUAAAGGAAUUGGCGGGGGAGCACCACAAGGGGUGAAGCCUGCGGUUCAAUUGGAUUCAACGCCGG